rnacentral:rRNA from 1 species
GACGAACGCUGGCGGCAUGCCUAAUACAUGCAAGUCGAGCGAACAGAUGAAGUGCUUGCACUUCUGACGUUAGCGGCGAACGGGUGAGUAACACGUAAGGAAUCUACCUAUAAGCGGGGGAUAACAUUCGGAAACGGGUGCUAAUACCGCAUAAUAUCUUCUUCCGCAUGGAAGAAGAUUGAAAGACGGCUCUGCUGUCACUUAUAGAUGACCUUGCGGUGCAUUAGUUAGUUGGUGGGGUAACGGCCUACCAAGACGAUGAUGCAUAGCCGACCUGAGAGGGUGAUCGGCCACAUGGGGACGGGGGCACGGCCCAAACUCCUACGGGGGGGAGCAGUAGGGAAUCUUCCGCAAAGGGCGAAAGCCUGACGGAGCAAUGCCGCGGGAGUGAAGAAGGCCUUCGGGUCGUAAAACUCGGUUAUAAGAGAAGAACAAAUUGUAGAGUAACUGCUACAGUCUUGACGGUAUCUUAUCAGAAAGCCACGGCUAACUACGUGCCAGCCGCCGCCGUAA